AGGGCAUCACUGAGCUAAAUCCCCAGCGCAAUAUAUCUUAAGAAUUUAGUCUUUAAUUUAUGGUAAUAACCAUACAUGAUCAAUGAUCUAUAUAAGAAACAUAUACACCAAAAUUAACUCUAAAGUUUAUUGGUAUAGGAGCUGUUGAAGCAAGCAAGGCUCUAAAAGUUUAUUAUGUGAUAGUCAUGCUGUACUUUAUAAGAAGAAAUGGGAUAUGAAAUGUAUCUGAUAGUUUAAAAAACAGUUGGACCACAGAAAGGCAAGCGAUCUCCAGGAAGCGCAACAAUGCUCCAAGUUUCUUCAUGCGUCGACAAACAGAAACCUUCUCGCUGAAACCUGGUUAUCUGUGCUCAGAGGUACCUGGCAGUGUAACAACAACAAAAAAAAAAAAAAAAAACACAAAAAACUUGGAGAGGUGGCAUUGCAUAGUAAGAAGAUGGCUUUUAAUACACAUUGCUGAAAUAGAAGACACAAAAACAACUCUACAAAGACUUCUGCACAAUAGAAGUGUCUCCUGGGGGAAUUCAGGUAAGUCCACAAACCAUCACCAAAGCAACUGAGAGGAUUCAGAGGCAGGGAGCAGCAAAAUAGAGAUUUGCCACAGGCAUUCAUAAAAUUAACUCAUUUCAAAGAGAACUACAUAGCUCCUGAAUUUUCAGCAUUUGUUUCUGUCUAAUAACCAUCAGAAACAGAAAGCGCUAACAAACUAAAAUGACAGAAUGCUAAGGGGCUAUGUAUGCUUGUACUGGCAGCAAUCUGCUGUCAGACUGAGAGUAACCAGCAGCCACAUCACCUGUGACACACCGGGAGACAGUUGUGUCACCAGCCCAACCCAUGUUCAUUAAAUCUCUACCGAUGCCAGGCCCCAGGUUACAAAAUCAGUCCCCACCCCACACACACAGAGUGUUCCUGCUCUCAGCUGAUGAUCUAGUAAAGAGAACAAUCAAUUAAUCAACAUAAGCAAAUGAAGACUUCAAUGUGCUGAUGCUAAGACAUCAGGCAUUUUGAACUAUAAAAC
rnacentral:lncRNA from 1 species